rnacentral:lncRNA from 1 species
UCUAAUUCUUCCCUUCUCUCAAAUGCUCUCAAAUGCUCUCAAAACCCUAAUCGCCCGCCUAGCCCUUUUCGACCUCAAAUCAACCAGAAUCCAUGGCUGAUCUAGCCAUGGACGAUCUGUACGCACCUCCUACUUCUCUCACAUGCCUAAUGCCUGAAGAUUCGAGGCUAGUCUUUGAGGAUCUUCACCCAGACCUUCAUCGAUUCAAGGUUUCAUCCAUCUCCGACCAUGCUCCGGCAUAUCUUAGCCUCCUUAGACUAGUUCCGACCUUAUCGACGCAAAUCAGAUCUUGUCUUUACCAAGCCUUUCUCGUCCUUUAGGGUUCUCAGGAACCCUAGCCUAUUCAAGUUUCUUUUUUGUAUAUUCAUUUAGAUCUUUGCAAAAUCUAUGCUAUAUGUGACGUUUGAAGCAUUUUGCCCAAAUUUCCUUUUCAAAACCCUUUGAUAUCAAAUUAGUGUUUCUGAG